GAAGACCCUCCUCCCCUGAGCUAGAGAUGCGCAAAAAACGUGAUUGUUUCCCAUCUUCUAUCCAAGCACAUAACAGCCGCAACAGUGAAAUUAAAACGACACCCCCCACCCCCCAAAUUUGAUACCUUUGAAUGCCUCCCGAAACGCCAACGGGAGGACUUCAGCAAAAACACACAAACCCUCCCCAUCGCCGGAAGAAGCAGCCAUGAAAUCCAGCUAUUUUUGAUUUGAAAUGACAACACCCCAUCGUUCAUCUUCUUCUUCUCCAACCUCUUAAUCACCGGUAAAAUCCAUCAAUCAAGAGCUCCUUUAGUAUAUUUUCCGAUGACUAUCCAGUUUUUCGAUUGAGUUUCAUUGACCGUUUCCAUUAGUUCCUACGAAGUCCACUCGAGGUCGUCGUUGGUCUUGGGUUGGGCGCAAUUGAAUUUUUCGAUAUAACUGAGAUCGUUUGAGGUCCGGUCGUUGAUUUCGUCCCAGUUCGAGUGUUGUUUCGAAUUUCAGUUGUAGUGCCCCACUCUGUCCAUCCUAGUUGCUGAAUUUUUGUCGAUUGAAAGCUUUUGAGUUAGAUUUCGGGGCUUGAUUCGAGGUCACUGUCCGAGGUUCAAUCCGGGUAGAUUCGCGCUACUGCUUCGAUUCUAUUGCUGCAGUUUUCAGCUUUCCUUGCAAGUGCAAUCGUUGGAAUUCAUAUUAAAUUGUAUCAUUGAUAUUCAAAUACACCGGAAAGCAAUUCAGGUUCAUCUAUUUCCCAUUUUGAGCAUGUUGUUUGAAUGUUGUGGUGAUGAGCAUGAUGUUAGUUAAGUUAUGUGUGCAUUUUUGUUUAUCUCUAUUUUAGCCAUGAAGAUUGAAAUGAUUCACUCUGUUAAUUGUUAUGGCUCAUUAUAUUUGAUUAAGCUUGUUAAUGUCAUGUUUGCUUGAUCUGAGAAACCGUCGAAAUUCUAGCUCGUCCAUGGCUGUAAAUGGAUUAUUUUUUCCUUUGAUUUUCCUUCGUCAGAUUUGUGACGAAGUCUUUGCCUUCAUUAGAUUUUGAUGCAAAAUUCCAUUUUCCUUUUCAUCAGAUUCAUAACAAAGUUUCUAAUGGCAUUCUCAGAUUUGUGACUACAAUUUCCUUUGCUAUAACAGAUUUAUAACAAUGUUGUUUCGUUUACUAAUUCUUCAGAUUUGUGACAAAGUAUUUGUAAUAAUUUUGUGAGAUUUUUGACAAUAUUGUAUCAAUGUUUUGAAUGUGUUCAUUUAGUUAUCUGAAUGUAUGUUUACUCGAAUUGGUUAUAGCUGAAUAUGAUUUUGUCU
rnacentral:lncRNA from 1 species